UGCAUUUUUCCUUACAGUGUUUAAAUGUAAAGAUGUCUCCUGGCCCAUUGUCAAGUUAACAAGACACCGGUAUAAACUUUUAGUUGUUUUACUCAUACAGGAAGAGAUGGAGGUAAAACAAAUAGAGGUGAUAUCUGCGUUUUGUUCCCCCGCUGGAUUGGACAUGGAGAGGGCCAUGCGGAGCAGUUUGUUUAUGUACAGAAGAAUGUCCCUUGUAUCCUCCUGAGAGAUCUCAAUGAAACUUUCAUGGUGUUACUCCGCAAUCCUCUCCUGAAGGGUUCUAGGGAUGGCUGCCUUAUUUCUUCUUCUGCAGACGAUACUUUCCCACACCUCACCACGCAGCUGCCAUUGUGGCUUUGAGGGGUGCCCCUUGCACAUCUGCAGAACACCUGAUCCUGAAGAGGAGAAAGAAGAGGAUUAGUUCAGCAAGAUCUUGCAAGCUAUUGCUGCUUCAGAUCGUGAACAAAGGUCCUGGAGACCAGCGUGACAGAUGUUAUGGAGAAUGAAAAAGGAGAUGGGAAAGGCUAGGAUUCCCAGCAGGAAGGGGAAAGGGAGAUGCACCAAGACAUAAUGGAGCUUCUCAGGCAGCAAACUCAUAUGCUGGUUGACCUACAGGCCCAGAAAUCUGGCUCCCUGCAUUUUGCAGUCCUUAGAGAGCUCUGUAGAAGCAGCCCUGACACUCCAAAGCAUAUCAUGUGGCAUCACGGGCCACGUCUUAAUCCCUAUGAUUCCUCACUGUGUGACUGCAAGGAAAAACACUGCUUAACAUACACCAACAUAGAUCAGUAUGUGUAACACAAGGGAUGACAUUUGUAUAUUGAGAUGGACAGAAAAUUUUGCUGCUUUUCCAAUUCUAAAAGUUCAGUUCAGAGUUUGUAGUGCCUGCUGUUUUUUGCACAUUGCUUUUCUGCACUGUUUUUGCCAAAUUUCUUAUUUUUUAAAUAAUAAUUUUUCACAACACAUUUCAGAAUGCAAUGCAAUGCUUAAAGCAUAGAGGACUUGUAAAUGUACAGCACCACAAAACUUAGAGGUUCUGGAAAACACCCCCCAGUCAUAUUUAUAAAUGUACAGCAAGCACCAGAUCAUUCAUAGCUUGGGUAAAACAUAAUGUGUAUAAAUAUGCAGAAAGCACUACACAUUUCCCGACAGCACUCAAAGCUUCAGGUCCACAGAACAUUCCAGUACAGAGCACUGCUAUCGCUGACUGUUAAAGUCUUCUUUUAAAACCUCACUUAACUGCCUAGCUCCAUGUUGAACUCUUGUAAUGGCUGAUGUAUGGCUGUUCAAAGUCUGCCCUGUCUCCUCCUUCCAUCCUGGUGACAGCUUUUCCCCCAUUGCCUCACAAAUAUUAUUUAGGUCACAUGAGGUAACUAUAAGCCAUUGGAAUAUUUUUCUCAUUGAGAUCCAGUCUAGUGAGUAAACACCACCAGUAUCCCUUCACUCUACCAACAGCACAUUCAACUGUCAUUCUGCGCUUUCUGACCUGGUGGUUGAGUCUUUCCUUGGUGUGGUUGAGGUGGCCAGUAAAUGGUUUUGUGAGCCCUGGGAGCAAGGGGUAAACUGGAUCCACCAGAAUCACUACUGGCAUUUCAAUAGCACCAGUGGUAAUCCACUGGUUGGGAAAGAAUGUCCCCGCUUGCAGCUUUCUGAACAGUCUUGUGUUCUUAAAGAUGUGGGUGUCGUGCUUUCAGUAACUAGCGCUCAGUUAUGUAGGGAUAAUCUUUACUUUUUCCAUCUUCAACUCAACGUGGAAAAAGUUAAGAACGCUUGACCAAAUGGCCUUACUAUUCAGCAUUACCUAGAACUAUUUGAGAUUCCCACCUCAGCUUUGUUAGCUAAAACCCAAUUGCUUUCAGCUGUUCCUGAGUUAAUCUCUGACCUUAAUAAUGGAAACUUUUUCCUGCUGUAUUUAGUAAAUAUCGUCAGUGUUGACCUGAAGAUGGGAGUAAAUAGAACAGUAUUAUUAUA